rnacentral:rRNA from 1 species
UGAGUACGAGAUGCUACGGCAUCGAAGCAGUCUAUGUCAUACUUCCAAGAAAAGCUUGCAAUGUCAUAAACAAAUAAUGCCUGUACCAUAACCGACACAGGUGGGUAGGUAGAGUAUACUAAGGGGCGCGAGAUAACUCUCUCUAAGGAACUCGGCAAAAUGACUCCGUAACUUCGGGAGAAGGAGUGCCUUAUUUUUUAUAAGGUUGCAAUAACAAGAUCCAAGCAACUGUUUACCAAAAACACAGGUCUCCGCUAAGUCGUAAGACGAUGUAUGGGGGCUGACGCCUGCCCAGUGCCAGAAGGUUAAAGAAGUUGGUUAGCAUUAGCGAAGCUGAUAACUGAAGCCCUGGUGAACGGCGGCCGUAACAAUAACGGUCCUAAGGUAGCGAAAUUCCUUGUCGGGUAAGUUCCGACCCGCACGAAAGGCGUAAUGAUUUGGAUACUGUCUCGGAGAGGGGCUCGGUGAAAUAGACUUGUCUGUGAAGAUGCGGACUACCUGCACCUGGACAGAAAGACCCUAUGAAGCUUUACUGUAACUUGAGAUUGAAAUUGGACUUUAUCUGCGCAGUAUAGGUGGGAGACGUUGAAAAUAUUCUUGCGGGAAUAUUGGAGUCAUCAGUGAGAUACCACUCUUAUAAUGUUGGAUUUCUAACUUUGUAUCAUUAUCUGGUCAAAGAACAGUUUCAGGCGGGCAGUUUGACUGGGGCGGUCGCCUCCCAAACGGUAACGGAGGCGCACAAAGGUUUCCUCUGAACGUGUAGAAAUCGUAUCUAGAGUGUAAAGGCAUAAGGAAGCUUGACUGUGAGACCUACAAGUCGAGCAGGGACGAAAGUCGGUCUUAGUGAUCUGACGGUGCUGAGUGGAAAGGCCGUCACUCAACGGAUAAAAGUUACUCUAGGAUAACAGGCUGAUCUCCCCCAAGAGUUCACAUCGACGGGGAGGUUUGGCACCUCGAUGUCGGCUCAUCGCAUCCUGGGGCGGUAGUACGUCCCAAGGGUUGGGCUGUUCGCCCAUGAAAGCGGUACGCGAGCUGGGUUCAGAACGUCGUGAGACAGUUCGGUCCAUAUCCGGUGUAGGCGUUAGAAUAUUGAGAGGAGCCUUCUUUAGUACGAGAGGACCGAGAAGGACAUACCUCUGGUGUACCAGUUAUCGUGCCAACGGUAAACGCUGGGUAGCCAUGUAUGGAGAGGAUAACCGCUGAAAGCAUCUAAGUGGGAAACCCACCUCAAGAUAAG